rnacentral:rRNA from 1 species
UACGUAGGGCGCAAGCGUUGUCCGGAAUUAUUGGGCGUAAAGAGCUCGUAGGCGGCUUGUCACGUCGGGUGUGAAAGCCCGGGGCUUAACCCCGGGUCUGCAUUCGAUACGGGCUAGCUAGAGUGUGGUAGGGGAGAUCGGAAUUCCUGGUGUAGCGGUGAAAUGCGCAGAUAUCAGGAGGAACACCGGUGGCGAAGGCGGUUCUCUGGGCCUUACCUGACACUGAGGAGCGAAAGCGUGGGGAGCGAACAGG